ensembl:lncRNA
CUGUGGAGGUUCCGGCCCUGGGAUCUGGGUAUGCAGUGUGUAAACGUGAGUGUGUCAUCAUGAGAGUUGUACUACCCUCCAUCCUCCACAUCACUGCCCUUCUCUGGAGCGCUACCCUCGCUGUCUGUCGACCACUCACAGCCAGGACCCUGGACACGGACCCGCGUCCGCACUCUCAUUGGCUGCCUGUGGGUUGUGGCCGUGAUCAGCGCUGGGCCGGUGUUUGCUAUAGUAGGGGUAGAGGAGCUGGGGGGAGGUGAGGGGGAGAGCGAGGUGCGCUGUACGGACUACGCCGUCUCCUCAGGCCUGCUGGGGGCAUGAUGUGGCUCUCCACACCUCUACUUCCUGGUGCCGCUGGGCAUUCUGGGAUUUUUGUAUGGUCUGAUCGGCAGAAGCGUUGGCUCCGCCCACAACGCAGCAGCCGAGACCGCGCCCAGCGACACACCAUCAAGAUGCUCGGGAUGAUCGUGCUGGCGUUUGUUCUGUGUUGGCUGCCGUUCCACGUUGGUCGGACGUUGUUCUCUGUGACCUGGGCUCCGGCGCUGAUAUGUACUACACUCAGUACUUUAACUUGGUCUCCUUUGUGUUGUUCUACUCAGUGCUGCUGUCAACCCUAUCCUCUACAACACCAUGUCAGCACGCUACCGCCAGCGCUGUCCGCAGCCUGCUGCGCUCACACACACCCCGCUCCCACCACCCCCCACUCACCCCACAACACUCUACCACCACCCUGUAACCAAACACACCCUGCUCCCCACCACCCCCCACUCACCCACAAACACUCUACCACCCACUGUAACUCCCCACCCCCCCCCCACCACCCACCCCAAAAAAACCCCGCUCCCACCCCCCCCCACCACCCACACACCAACACCUACCCACCACCCUGUAACUCACACACCCCCGCUCCCACCACCCCCCACUCACCCCACAACACUCUACCACCCCCCUGUAACUCACACACACCCCCGCUCCCACCACCCCCCACUCAACCUCACAACACCUACACCCCCCACCCCCUGUACUCACAACCACCCCGCUCCCACCCCACCCCAACACCACCCCCCACUCACCCCCACACCUACCAAUCACCACCCCACACAACACCCCACCCCCAACACUCACCACCACCCUGUAACUCACACACACCACCCGCUCCCACACUCACCUCACAACACUCUACCACCCCACACUCUGUAACUCACACACACCCACUCCCACCACCCCACAAUACUCUACCACCACCCCCACUCACCUCACAACACUCUACCACCACUCUGUAACUCCACACACACACACAGAAAACCUUGGAGAUGGAUGGAGGAAUAAGACUUUGUUUAGAGGCACAUUGUCUUUAGUGAGACAUACUGUCAGAUUUAUUGUAUAAUAUUUGGUUCAUAUAUAUUUGCCAUUUUGAUGACUGUUGGUUCUAAACCCCUGAAGGUGUGUGUGUUCUCAGAGUGAUGUGUAAUAAACUGUAAUUCCAGCCUUUUGUCUUUGUGGUACUUUAGCUCUGGUGUGUGUGUGUGUGUGUGUGUGUGUGUUUGUGUGUCACCAUGGUGACUGGUGAGGGUAAGAAUGGCCCCUGGGGAGUAUUGGCGGGUUGGAAGAUUGAUUAGAGGGGGUUACUGGGAUUAUUGGUUAAUGUGAGGGAGGGAGGGAUGUAAGGUGUGUGUGUGUGUAGCAGUAGGAGGUUGCAGCCUUUAAGUUGACAGCGUGCUCAGAGUUCCACUCUGUCUCAUCACAGACUGACUGAUUUAGCAGACUUGACACCUGUAAGCCCACCCACCCCACUCUCUCACACAGCUCCUGGAAAGCUCUUGGGGGCCCCAUUCUAGGAAAUCAGUGACAUCAAUUAACAAGGGAGACAAGGACACUAGGGGCUACUGCAAACCUCCAGGCGCAGAUCUGAAUAUCACAGCAAAGUCUUUUUAAAGGCCCUUUUUUCACAUCACAGUACAACAUAUUCAGUCCUCUACUGUGCAUUUGAGUAUUUU